UACGUAGGGGCCUAGCGUUGUCCGGAAUUAUUGGGCGUAAAGAGCUCGUAGGCGGUGUGUCACGUCGGCCGUGAAAACCUGCAGCUUAACUGUGGGCGUGCGGUCGAUACGGGCAUCACUGGAGUUCGGCAGGGGAGACUGGAAUUCCUGGUGUAGCGGUGAAAUGCGCAGAUAUCAGGAGGAACACCGGUGGCGAAGGCGGGUCUCUGGGCCGAUACUGACGCUGAGGAGCGAAAGCGUGGGGAGCGAACAGG
rnacentral:rRNA from 1 species